rnacentral:sRNA from 1 species
GCGAAUUUGAUUUGGAGGAUGGGGAAAGAGGAGAAGAGGAGAUCGAAGAAUAUCAAGAGGAACAAGAGGAACAAGAGGAGAAAGGAAUCGGUACUGGGGAGAAUAUUAACCGGAAUGGGGAUGGGGGUGAUAGCCAGGUGGAUGAACUGGAUAUUACGAAUGAUGCUGCCAGUGCGGAUGGGAUAUUAGGACAUGAGGAAGCAAACGGAGACAUUGUCACGUCAUCUAACGGCCUGGACACUCAGGACGAACUCGAAGCAGCCAAAGCACGUCUCCAAGCAAGAUUGCAAGUCCAGCAUACGAGUGGUAAACUAGAACCCGGGGAAAGUGAGAUCGAGAGAGAGAGUAACGAUGAAGAAGACGGAGAAGGCAAGGUGGAUGAUGAUUACAAAUCUAGAAAUUCGCAGCAAUAUACCCGCGCCAUGCUCGAUAUGAUAAUUAGUGUUAUUGGAGAAUUCUACGGACAGAGAGACCUGCUUGAGUUUCGCGAUAUAUGGGAGGAAGAUAUCGGUCUUGCUUGGUAGUCUGCUUGCGUCAGGUGAAAUUUAUUGGCUGCUGAAAUCCCCGAUCCAGCAUCUCUUGCUUACUUUCUUUCUUUAUUUUUUUUUGAAUAAAUAUGGUUGCGCUAUAGGCCAUAUCGAUUACUUUUAUCCAUCACUUAAGGAGUCUACAUCUGAUGAUUUGAAACCCGUUUCUGGUAUGGGAGGAAGAAGAAUGAUGAUGCAGAGCUAGUAACUUUACUGUGAGCCAAACCAAACAUCUCGAACCAUGAAGGUCUAUCAUUAUGUAGCCGUAUCAAAGCAGCAGAAUGACAAAGCCUGCCAUCGAAAGCAGUUAAUAAGAAUGAUAAUGGUAAACAUGAAGAGCGAGGAUCUGGUCAAGGCGAGUUGACCUCGGGAGCGAACACACCCACGUGCCUUCUCCAUACACCCUGACUCCGGUUGAUGGGGCCUCGCAACAAAAUAUCGUCAGAUAUAUCUCACAAAACCACCCCGGUUACUCUUUUUCUUCCAAAGCAUUCUUUAGAACCUGCGUCGUCAGAUCAUCCUGCACCCAUCCCUCGAUGCGAGCAGCCACAUCUCCCACUAGUCGAUCGUAUGCCGCAUUUCGAGAAACGAAUAGCGACUGAUGAGCAGUGACUUCAUCCACUCCUUCCAUGUAGACCCUCACCCACAAUGGAUCCCGCUCACCAUUGGUUUCCCUUGGAGGGAGAGCACAAAAUUUCCGGUCCUUUUUGACUUUACGGGUGGAUUCGACCUCAUUAUUGCCGUCUAAUAGAACUCCGUUCGCUUGAGGUGAGUGGCUGUGGUUGGUUGGGGAGGAGGUUGGAAAUAAUGACUCUUUGUUUCUCUGCACCUGUUCCUUUUCGGCAGCUCGUUCCUGCUUGCUGGUGAGUUUGUGGACAGCUUUUGUUUUCUUUUCCCGUUCUUUCACUGCCUUCUCAUAAGCUUUCAUUCGGCGAGAGUGGUCUUUUUGGGCUUCCUUUAAGAGUGCUUUUGAUACAUAGGAGGUUGGGUCAAACUCUGGUGGUCGGCGCGGCUGAGGUGGGAAAUCAAGAUAUGUAUCUUCAACCAGGAUUGUAUGACUGUUCUCUCGUGCACUCGACCGAAUUCCCCGUCUUUUCUUCCGUUGGUGUGCGAGGAUCGACAGAUAAUGAUAUAACGUGGCCAAGCUCGGAGGGAGACGUGGGCGCUGUGCUCGUCAACCUUCCGUCCAGAACACUUGUAUUGGGAGCAUUGUCACCGGUACUUCCACUAGCAGGAUAUUUUAUUUUCCCUGUGGACGCAGUGUAGUAGUUAAUAAAUCUAAUACGGCGAUAUGACCGGCCGCUCCCAUCCUGCCUUGGACUGCAGUCGUCAAUAUCUUCCAAUUCUCUCAGACGCCUAUAUCGGCGUUUGAGACCAGAGUAGUCAGCAAUGCACAAGCCGAACUCCACAUGCGAAGAAAUAUAUUUCUUAGUCGCAUCCACGAGUUGGUUAGAAUUUUUAGGUAUAAAAUUAAAAGCUCCGUCAAGCUGUGAUCGUUCUGUAAGUCGGGUGUCAUUCGGGAACAGCGGGUCGAAGUUAGGAUCAUCAGGG